UACGUAGGGGGCAAGCGUUGUCCGGAUUUAUUGGGCGUAAAGAGCGUGUAGGCGGCUUUGCAAGUCCGUUGUGAAAACUCGAGGCUCAACCUCGAGACGCCGGUGGAAACCGUAAAGCUAGAGUCCGGAAGAGGAGAGUGGAAUUCCUGGUGUAGCGGUGAAAUGCGCAGAUAUCAGGAGGAACACCAAUGGCGAAGGCAGCUCGCUGGAACGGUACUGACGCUGAGGCGCGAAAGCGUGGGGAGCGAACAGG
rnacentral:rRNA from 1 species